AUUGAACGCUGGCGGCAUGCCUUACACAUGCAAGUCGAACGGCAGCGCGGGGCAACCUGGCGGCGAGUGGCGAACGGGUGAGUAACAUAUCGGAACAUACCCUAGAGUGGGGGAUAACGUAGCGAAAGUUACGCUAAUACCGCAUACGCACUAAGGUGGAAAGUGGGGGAUUCGCAAGAACCUCAUGCUCAUGGAGUGGCCGAUAUCUGAUUAGCUAGUUGGUGAGGUAAAGGCUCACCAAGGCGACGAUCAGUAGCUGGUUUGAGAGAACGACCAGCCACACUGGAACUGAGACACGGUCCAGACUCCUACGGGAGGCAGCAGUGGGGAAUUUUGGACAAUGGGGGGCAACCCUGAUCCAGCAAUGCCGCGUGAGUGAAGAAGGCCUUCGGUUGUAAC
rnacentral:rRNA from 1 species